UUCAGAGGUGUGCUCUGCCCAGGAAUUGAACCUAUCUUUCCCAUAUACCAUGCUAGUGAGCUAACCACUGGUCCAUCCUUCAUGUCUCACCAGAUUAUCAAUGGGCAAGCAUGUAGCAGAAGAGUAUCUACAGAAAGCAGACAAGAUCCUCACACAAUGAAACCCUUCCAUGGGUUCCUUAGGCCGUUGACUUUUCUGUGAUCCAAAAUUUCCAGUGGAUAUUUUCCUCCAAAAAUAUUUUUUUUGCUGAAAUAUUUUUCUUUACUUUUACUGAUAAAUUGGCAAGUUUACAAUGAGAUUUUCCAGGAACAGAGAAAAAGGGCCAAGACAGCUGAAUUGAAAAUAGAUAACAUUUGAAAUUCACCCAGUGCUGUGUCAGCAAACAGAGUUCUAACUUCUAUCUAUUGAAAAAGUUCUUGCAUAAUAGGUAGGAAAUUAUGAAAUACAGUGCUAAGGAUCCUAGGAAUUCUAACUUAAUCUUUGCUCAUAAGCCUUCCCUGCUACCUCCUUUCUUGAUCACUGUGGACAUCACUGCCAUCCUGCUUGUCACUUAGGCCUGUAACCUGUGUCAUCUUUGACUCAUACUUCUUUCUAGAUCCUCACAUAGGCUAUGUCUAAAUCUUCGAGAUGUUAUGCAAGAAGGAUCUUUGAGAUUUGGCUUUUCCUAUCCAUCCCCGUAGCUAAAACUCUAGUCCAGGCUCUCGUCAUUAUACAUCUCACUGCAUCAGCCUUUUCUCUAGCCUUGCCAAAUGCAAUGUUGAGCCACUCAUAUCCAUUCAGAAUGCUGCUGCAAAAAUCAUUUUCCUGUCACUUUGUAAUUCCUCUCUUUGCACCCCUCCACUGGCUUCCCCUUCUCUACUGCAUCAGUAAAAGCUGCUUGCCUCUACUUUGAAGGCCUUUCCAUAUGUAUCUCUUUCCUAUCCAUCAUCUCUCAUUCACUGUCCAAAACCUGGCUCCCACCUCUGAUCAGCCCAGGUGUCGGCCUCCAUCACCCUCUUGUUAAAUUUUCAAACAAGCAUCGUUGUGCUUUCUCCCUUGUUGCCCCCUCACACUUAGGUGGAGCUCCACAUAAAUAUUUGCAAAGCUAUCUCAUUGUCCUCCUUCAAUCCCUUCUCUUUUGCUGUGAUGCUUACAAAAAAGUUGACAAUGGUUAGGCUGCUGGUACACUAAGCCACUGCCCAUCAUGCUGACCAAUAGCAUCUCAUUGUUCAUUUAUACUACCCUGCUGGUCUGUCUGCAUUCAUCUGUUGUCUCUUGUCUUAAACUGUAAACUCUUUGGGGCAAGGGCCAUAUUUUAGUUGUAUUUGUGCAGUGCCUAUGCAGUAUGGGGUCCAGGUGUAUGACCCAGGCAAUGGUAAUACUACCAAUAAAUACAUUUUUGAAGUAUCUGCUAGCACGAGACGGUUGCCUUCAAUUCUUCCCCUUCUCCCUUUAAUCCUGUAGACUGUCACUCCAGAGGCAAAACAAUUUCGAUGCCACAACAGAGGUAGGUUUAUUUUAGGUCAAGCUCUCAUCGAUUUAUGCACUUAAGGAGGUUCAAGAGGCACAGGAACAAAAUAAAUUCUCUGGAACUGAGUGUGUUUCACCCUGUCUCCGACAUGUUACCAGUUUUGUUUAGAGAAGCAACACUUUAGUAAGGAUUGAGCAAUUGAAGAACGGUACUGCAAUGCAAAAGUGAUAAGAGACAUGUCAACAGUAGUUAAUGCCUGAAAUAAUGACAGCUAGACUCUCCUAGGCUGUCUGUUUGAAUUUGGGGUUUGGGAGGCUGAGGCCUACUAAGGGAGGAGUCAUAGAAACAGGACACAAGUGUUUUCUUGGGACAACAAAUGAAAAAACAGGGACAUGAGUGAGGAACAGAGGGUUAAAACAAGGGCACCAGAUGGGAGCACUGAGCAGAGAACUCCAGGCAGUUCCCAAAGCUCUUUGAAGGAAUUCCAGGAGUCAGUGGUCACUGCCUAAAUGAACUCAGCUUGAACUCGUAAAAUAAUGAGAGAAUGGAAGUAUGCCACACAUCGAGCUCCCUUUUCCUGGACUGAUGGAUACCCAUCUGUCAUAAAUAUAAAGGGAAGGGUAAACACCUUUAAAAUCCCUCCUGGCCAGGAGAAAAACCCUUUCACCUGUAAAGGGUUAAGAAGCUAGGAUAACCUCGCUGGCACCGGACCAAA